UACGUAGGCAGCAAGCGUUGUUCGGAGUUACUGGGCGUAAAGAGUGCGUAGGUGGUGCCCUAAGUCUGUUGUGAAAUCUCCCGGCUUAACUGGGAGGGUGCGGUGGAAACUGGGGUGCUUGAGUGUGGGAGAGGUAAGCGGAAUUCCUGGUGUAGCGGUGAAAUGCGUAGAUACCAGGAGGAACACCGGUGGUGUAGACGGCUUACUGGACCACGACUGACACUGAGGCACGAAAGCGUGGGUAGCAAACAGG
rnacentral:rRNA from 1 species